GACGAACGCUGGCGGCGUGCCUAAUACAUGCAAGUCGAACGCUUCUUUCCUCCCGAGUGUUUGCACUCAAUUGGAAAGAGGAGUGGCGGACGGGUGAGUAACACGUGGGUAACCUACCCAUCAGAGGGGGAUAACACUUGGAAACAGGUGCUAAUACCGCAUAACAGUUUAUGCCGCAUGGCAUAAGAGUGAAAGGCGCUUUCGGGUGUCGUUGAUGGAUGGACCCGCGGUGCAUUAGCUAGUUGGUGAGGUAACGGCUCACCAAGGCCACGAUGCAUAGCCGACCUGAGAGGGUGAUCGGCCACACUGGGACUGAGACACGGCCCAGACUCCUACGGGAGGCAGCAGUAGGGAAUCUUCGGCAAAGGACGAAAGUCUGACCGAGCAACGCCGCGUGAGUGAAGAAGGUUUUCGGAUCGUAAAACUCUGUUGUUAGAGAAGAACAAGGACGUUAGUAACUGAACGUCCCCUGACGGUAUCUAGCCAGAAAGCCACGGCUAACUACGUG
rnacentral:rRNA from 1 species